GCCUCCUCCCUUUGUUUUAAUGAAACCCCCGGGACGCUCUGGAAAGCCCUGGAAGCCAACGCCGUCCAAACCGUCGCCUCCUAUUCCGUCCGAGCCGCGCGGUGCCUCCUGCUGGCCGUCCCGGUCUCUGUGGGGACAGGACGGGGUCCCGGUCUAUGGCUUCAACAGAUGUGGCGGCGGAACAGGCUCUGUUCAAUGCGUGGACCCGGGAGAGAACCUGGAGAACCAGAACAAAUGAGACGAGAGGUUCUCUCAACUCUCAAUCACAAGGAAAUGUUUAGAAGAAGAUCCUCCUUCAGUGGAAGAAUGGAUCAACUUAAUCCACCGUAAUCUACAUAAUGAAACGCUAUCCUCCACCCUCAAGACUCAAAGCGUCAACUUUUAUGAACGGUGGACAGAAUGGACCCAGAACGUGAAACCAGAAGUGAGGCCUCUGAGCAGCAGGUUCCACCGCCUGCCUCUGGAGGGCGCUGUUCUCCUGGAGUCAGGGCAGAGGGUGUCCUCAGGUGGAUGGACGGACGCUGACCUGCAGGACAAACACAACCUUCAGCAUGUGGGAGCUGGACCGGCGAGGACCGGCGCAGCGUGGCGGGGCUCCUCGCAGCGCCUCACGGGGCAGGAAGCUGAGGCUUUUGGUUGGGAGGUGGGCCGUCCCAUCCAGCAAAUAAAAGGCACUAAUGGUCUGGAGCGGUUCCCCGCCUGGCACCUUGUCCCAGCCGCCCGCCUGAUGGCGCGGCGGCGGCGGCGGCGGAGGGCCCGCAGAUGCAGUCUGGGGGCGUUCCCGGAGUCGCUCGGUUCGUUCGACCCGGUCCAGAUUUAAGCGCAGCUUUGAGAGCGGCGACCCCGGGCUGUUUGAGGUGUGGUCUGCGUGUGCGGGGGCCCUGCACAGCAUCACGCACAUCUACCAGGCCGGAGACGGCGGGAGGACGGAGCGCCAACCACCCCCCCGUUAUAGAUGAUGACAUCACCUCAGCUGUCUGCGGCUGUUACUGCAGCAUGAGCAGCGAGUGUGCUUAGUAACACCUUUCAAACAGCAAAACAGUCCGGACGCCUCAUCACUCUACAGCCUCAUUUUCAUGGAUUUGACAAAUAAAUGAGAUAGUUUUAUAUAAGAAAUGAUUUUGUGAAAUCAAACAAAUCCUGAAAAUGUUAAAUUUUUAUUUUUUUC
rnacentral:lncRNA from 1 species